rnacentral:rRNA from 2 species
GUCGAGCGGACUUUAAAAGCUUGCUUUUAAAGUUAGCGGCGGACGGGUGAGUAACACGUGGGCAACCUGCCUGUAAGACUGGGAUAACUUCGGGAAACCGGAGCUAAUACCGGAUAAUCCUUUUCCUCUCAUGAGGAAAAGCUGAAAGACGGCAUCUCGCUGUCACUUACAGAUGGGCCCGCGGCGCAUUAGCUAGUUGGUGAGGUAACGGCUCACCAAGGCAACGAUGCGUAGCCAACCUGAGAGGGUGAUCGGCCACACUGGGACUGAAACMCGGCCCAAACUCCUACGGGAGGCAGCAGUAGGGAAUCUUCCGCAAUGGACAAAAGUCUGACGGAGCAACGCCGCGUGAGUGAUGAAGGUUUUCGGAUCGUAAAGCUCUGUUGUUAGGGAAAAACAAGUACAAAAGUAACUGCUUGUACCUUGACGGUACCUAACCAGAAAGCCACGGCUAACUACGUGCCAGCAGCCGCGGUAAUACGUAGGUGGCAAGCGUUGUCCGGAAUUAUUGGGCGUAAAGCGCGCGCAGGCGGUCCUUUAAGUCUGAUGUGAAAGCCCACGGCUCAACCGUGGAGGGUCAUUGGAAACUGGGGGACUUGAGUGCARAARAGAARAGUGGAAUUCCACGUGUAGCGGUGAAAUGCGUAGAGAUGUGGAGGAACACCAGUGGCGAAGGCGACUCUUUGGUCUGUAACUGACGCUGAGGCGCGAAAGCGUGGGGAGCAAACAGGAUUAGAUACCCUGGUAGUCCACGCCGUAAACGAUGAGUGCUAAGUGUUAGAGGGUUUCCGCCCUUUAGUGCUGCAGCAAACGCAUUAAGCACUCCGCCUGGGGGAGUACGGCCGCAAGGCUGAACUCAAAGGAAUUGACGGGG